GAAAAAGGAGGAGGAAAAAGCAGUGAGCGAGAAAGCUAAAAUUAUGGUGGAGGAAGAGAAGCAGGAAAAUGGAGAAUUCAAUUAGGCUGCAGAUACAAAG
rnacentral:ribozyme from 1 species